rnacentral:rRNA from 1 species
UGGGGAAUAUUGCACAAUGGGCGCAAGCCUGAUGCAGCAACGCCGCGUGAGGGACGACGGCCUUCGGGUUGUAAACCUCUUUUAGUAGGGAAGAAGCGAAAGUGACGGUACCUGCAGAAAAAGCACCGGCUAACUACGUGCCAGCAGCCGCGGUAAUACGUAGGGUGCGAGCGUUGUCCGGAAUUAUUGGGCGUAAAGAGCUCGUAGGCGGUCUGUCGCGUCUGCUGCGAAAACCCGAGGCUCAACCUCGGGCCUGCAGUGGGUACGGGCAGACUAGAGUGCGGUAGGGGAGAAUGGAAUUCCUGGUGUAGCGGUGGAAUGCGCAGAUAUCAGGAGGAACACCGAUGGCGAAGGCAGUUCUCUGGGCCGUAACUGACGCUGAGGAGCGAAAGCGUGGGGAGCGAACAGGAUUAGAUACCCUGGUAGUCCACGCCGUAAACGUUGGGCGCUAGAUGUGGGGCACCAUUCCACGGUUUCCGUGUCGCAGCUAACGCAUUAAGCGCCCCGCCUGGGGAGUACGGCCGCAAGGCUAAAACU